GAUGAAGAACGUAGCGAAAUGCGAUAAGUAAUGUGAAUUGCAGAAUUCAGUGAAUCAUCGAAUCUUUGAACGCACAUUGCGCCCGCCAGUAUUCUGGCGGGCAUGCCUGUUCGAGCGUCAUUUCAACCAUCAAGCCCCCGGCUUGUGUUGGGGACCUGCGGCUGCCGCAGGCCCUGAAAACCAGUGGCGGGCUCGCUAGUCACUCCGAGCGUAGUAAUACAUCUCGCUCAGGGCGUGCUGCGGGUUCCGGCCGUUAAAAAGCCUUAUUUACCCAAGGUUGACCUCGGAUCAGGUAGGAAGACCCGCGGAACUUAAGCAUAUCAAUAAGCGGAGGA
rnacentral:misc_RNA from 1 species